GCCUGCAGGUGGGGAGGAUGAAUGGACAGUGGUGGUGCAGUCCUCCAGAGCCUCUCUUCCGCCCUGGGCGACCUCUGCCUCAGGCUCCACGUUGUUACUUCUGUCACUCUGAACCCUCCUCAGGGUGCCAUUUGUACAUAAACGUGGCCGCUUUGCAGGUGGGGGCAGCCCAUCCUGAUGCCAGGAAAUCAGUGAUGGCAGGGCCACUGGCAUGAGCUGUUUCCUUUUAUGCGGCCUCUUGGAAGCAGCAGUUAGUGAGGGCCAACUCUGGGCUAGAACACAGGUCGGCUUUAGGCCCUGCUCUCCCUGGAUGGCAUCUUGGGAGGCUGGAGAGACAGGCAGAUCUACAGGCUCCUGGGUCCACUUGUGGAGCAUUGAGGGGCCCUCAGCUUUAAGGAGGGCGAGCACUCCUUGAGCAGGGCAGUGGGAGCUGCAGGUUGUGGGGCUCCCAGAUGAUAAGUUCUUGGGAGACACCUGGGCCCUCUCUGGAAGGAUGUUUCCCUCUGGGGGCCAAGAACUGGGCUCCAGGGCACUGAGGUCUCCCCGAGUGUCCUCCUCCUCCUCCUUCUCCACCUUCUCCUCCUCCUCCUCCUCCAGCUCCUCCUCCUCCUCGUCCUUCUUCUCCUCUUCCUCCUCGUCCUUCUCCUCCUCCAGCUUCUCUUCUUUCUUCUCCUUCAGCUUCUCCUCCUCCUCCUUCUCCUCCUCCUCCUCCUCCUCCAGCUCCUCCUCCUCCUCGUCCUUCUUCUCCUCUUCCUCCUCGUCCUUCUCCUCCUCCAGCUUCUCUUCUUUCUUCUCCUUCAGCUUCUCCUCCUCCCCCUCCUCCUCCUUCUCCUCCUCCUCCUCGUCCUGAUGGAUCUUGCCUUCGUCUUGCUGUUCCUGGGCCCUGAGCUCAGCUUCCUUAGAGGCACCAAUAGGGCAGCAAGAAGGUGUCAUGGGCCCCUCAGCGUGGUGGAUGAGCUGAGGAACUGAAGGCAGGAGGAGAGGCCUGCGCGCAGGAGGGGGGAUCCUUACUGCUCUCGAGGGUCCGAACAUCUGAGAGUUCUUCCGGGAUAGCACUGGCUUUUUGGGGAGCGGCCCCCAGGACACGGGCAGCAGGGUCCCCCGAGAGAGGAGCGGGCCUCUGUCCCUGCCAGCAGCAGGAGGCCCCCGAGGUCUGUGAUCCUGGGGGAAACGCCUGCUGGCAGGGCUGAGGGGAGAGGCAGGUGCAGCGGGGUGGUCCCUGUGAGGAGAGGGAGCCUCCCGGGUGAGGCGGAGGGGAGUGCGAUGGCCCAAGAGGGCCCUGCGGCGCAGCCUGCGAACGCACUUGGUCAAAAGACUGCCCAUGGAGGGCACCUGGGGCUCGUCACUAGGCAGAAGUCCACACUAGUCCAACGCUAGUCAGCACAGAGCAGCUUGGCUGAGAAGCCAGCUCCUCCUUCAACCACAGGCUGAACUCCAGUUUAGCCUUUGUGACAUGUGGCUGGAGCCUGUGACAGAGAAAGGACUUGGGCCAAGAUGAUUGGUCAAAGGAAGGUUCCAGGGUGAAGAGACCCCUCCCCCCACUUGGUCUGAGCUUAGGUGCCUCCUGACUCUCCCCUGCUUCUUCUCCCACACCCACCGCACAGUUAUUCUCACCCUCCAGAGGGUCAUUCUGAGGCUGCUUUCCUUUGGGUUACUUAGGCAGUCAUUCUACUUGGCUCCGAAAAUAAAUAUCUCCACGAUUCUACUGGACGUGACUGUAGCCAUCCAGAGUCAAACCACCAUCCGUUGCCCUCAGAUAACUACAGCUAUAGUUCCCACCAUACUAUCAAUUUAGAAAACCAUUACAGUUGUCCCUGGAACUGUCCCACAGGAUCCUUGAUCCAGUAAUGGUGCCUGACUGUGAUGUUACUUCAGGUAAAAUAUGUAGUUUGUUUGGGAAGAGUUCCCUCUCAUCCUGACCAAAGCACAUACACAUCCUUCUCUCUACACCAUAUUGAAGGUGUGCAGUGUUCUUCCUGUGGCCUAGCGUUGCAUUUUCCAGAGAGCUCAGUCCAUGUUUGGCUGACUACAUUGCUCUGGGGCUAAGAUGAUGCAGAACAUUUCAUGUCUCAGAGGUGUCAGUCCAUGGACAGCCAGCUCCAUUGCCCUGGGCCAGAGGUGGAGCAGAACAUUAGGGCACAAGGACAUUUUGAAGGGCAGCUGCUCACCUCAUGGCAGCCACAACGUAGAUAGUAAGAAGGAGCAAAUGGCAAGAUUCAUCUCCAAGGGUUUGCUACUAGUGACCUAGUUCGCUACCAGUGGAGCCAGCUUUACUGCAACUUCUCUGGCCAAACUCUGCUACCUGCUGCUCAUUUUCACAGUCAUCUGGAUAAAUGCUGCUAGCAAUAUCCAUACCACUGGAUGAAAUUGAAAUUUUUGUGCUGCAUUGAAAUUUUUCCACUAGAAUAAUUAAGACAUCAUCUCUAACUAAAUUUAGCCACAUAGAUAGUGUCAAGACAUGUGUAAAAUGUUAAAUGGAAAAUGACAAUGAAUUUGCUAGAAAGUAACAUGAAUGCCCUCCAGUCCCUCUUCCAAUAGAAUAAGCUUUCUCCUCAGCAAAGUCAUGAGCACCGUCUUUAAUACUGACAGUCCUUUAGCCUCCUGGCCUUCUGAGCUUCCACCAAAAUCACUCCCAAAGCUCUGCUUACCAUAGUGAAAGCUUUUCCAGAUGGCAUCUCUAAAGUUUUGAAAAUUCCACCCCAAAUUCCGAAAGGAUCUAGACAGUACUGAACCAGAUGGUUAGAUUAGUCACAGUGAAGAACUCAUCUCUUGGUAACCACUUCUAUUCUAGUCAGCUUUUUUUUGCCACUAUGAUCAAAAGACCUGACAAGAAGAACUAGAGGAGGCAAUGUUUAAUUGGCUCACGGUUUCACAAGCAGUCCAGAGUCAGCUGCCUCCAGAACUCUGGACAUCAGGAAGCAAAUAAUCAUGGCAAAAGAGUGUGGUGGAAGUAAGAAGCUCAGGAUAUUGCCACAAGGUGGAGAAGUGCUAGUGGGCUCCCUGGGCACAAUAUAUACAUCCCACAUACAAGCGCUCAUUGACCUACUUCUUUUUGCCAACCCCUACCUGCGGACAAUCAUUGUCCAGUUAACCUGUAUCAGUGGAUUAAGGGAAUGAUUGGCUAAGGUUCUCAUAGCCUAAUCAUUUCACCUCUAAUAUUUCUUGAAUUGUCUCACCCAUGAGCUUCUGGGGAUACCUCAUAUCUAAAUUGUAACACAUGCUGUUGUUCUGGUUCAAGCAGGAAUAUGUCCUGGGAUGAGAAGACUCCAUUAAACCCGGGUUGACCACAAUGAGAAUGGAUCUGUAGGAGUCCUGGUGAAUGGAAAGCGAUUAGGCUCUUCACUGCCACAGAUGCAGGGUCCCUGUGUGUAGCAGCUCAGCUAGACGGACUCUCAGCUCCUUCUUCCACUACACCUGAAGACUUGGAGGGAGAAGGAGCAGUGCAGAGCCCUUCCAGCCAGCAGCUGCAGGAUGCCUGGGUCGGCCCUGGGACUUGAUCUCGUAGUGUAGAAAGGGAAGGAAAGGGCUGAUGAUGGGGAGAGUCUUGGGCCACGGAGAGCCAGCUUUGUUUUCUUGUUGGCCAAGUUCUAAGGCCAGGGGUGGAAGUGUCCGCUCUUGCUGGAUGCCCAGCCCCUCUGUGACUCGCCAGUGUUUCUCACUUGAUGGCUUUGCAGAAGCAGUCAGUUGUCCACUGCCCAGGACUUACGAUCUCCCCACCCUCAGCCUUUGUUAGGGAGUGGCGGCACCUAGGGAGCUGUGGACCGCAGAGCUGUGUCCAGGAUUAAACACAGACCAAAAGAAGAAGGGAGGGUCCCACCGGGAGGGUCCCACCCAGGAUUCACACUGUCUGUGGACGUAUCUACGGCUGCUGAAACCGUGGGUAACUACAUCUCAGUAUUACUCACAGAAGGCUUUUCCCUUUCACCUGUAGCCCUUAACAAUUUCCGCAUGCUGUCCACAGACCAACUGAAUACAUUUCAAUAAAGACUUACUGAUUUUAUUUGAUGAAUAUUGAUUGAGUGCUUGCUACAUAUUAAACAUAGGUCAGGAACCUCCUUCAGGGAAAAAGGCAGAUGAGGCCCCUGGCCACUGUGCACCUGGACUUUACAUUCUUGAGACUGGUGGUGGGAGUGACAAACAAACAAAAAUAAACUGGAAAUACUUAGAUAGUGAUAAGUGCCAUAGAAAAUAAAAAGGAGCAAUGUUAGAGUCUGUAAACAAGUCAAAAUAACACCUGGCAUUUUGCCAGGGGAAUGCUAGAGUUCGUAAACAAGUCUGGAUGGUGCCUGGCAAAAUGCCAGAGGGAGUGAUUUGAGAAGUAACAAAAGAGAGCCAUUAAGUGUAGAGAUUCCUGAUUGGUUGACUGAUGUAUCUAGUUUAUGCUAAUUAGAUAAGCUGUGUGGAAUGUAUAAAUACUGCUCCUGUCCUGCAAUAAACGGUUCCUACUCCUGCUGUAUCAAUCUACACAAGUUGUUCGUCACCCCCCUGAUUAUUCUGCUGCAGCCGGACUACGGCAGAGCAAGAUGGAGAGUGGCUGAGUGUUGAGAUGGUCAAGAAAAUCCUUUCUGAGGACAUGACAUUUGAGCUCAGAUCUAAAUUAUGAGAAUAGUGCAGAUGAGUUUGUACUGAGGGAGUGGCAUGGGCAAAGGCCCUGAGGCAGGAGUCAGUAUGGCUGGCGUCACUGAGUCCUUGAAAGGUUAGUGUGCUUAGAAUAUAUAGAGGCAGUGGGAAGAAGCAGGAAUGAGGUCAAAGGUCAGCCAACUUAUCAGGACCUUGUCAGACACGGUAAGAAGUGUCAAGACAUGGAGACAACAUCAAGAUCAGGGCAAUGACAUGAUGUUACUACUCUCUUGGACAUCUGAUAUCACAAUGGGAUUGGAAGAAAAAUGGGCAUCUUUCACAUGCAUGAGCUACAUCACAGUGGAAAGGACACUGGCCUCUACCUGGAGUGAGAAGCAGCAGCUACACAGCUUCCUGCUUGCAUUGCAUUGGGUGUUCUCACUGCUCAGUUUUGAAGCCUGAUUUCCUUAUCCAUAGAAUGGGAUAACUGCACCCUGAACCACCUCCUGAAGGUGUGGUACGGGUCAAAUGAGACAUUGUGAAAGGUGUGCAUGUGCAGAGGGGUGGAAGGGAUGACGGUCUGUUGUGUUCAGAGGCAGUGGCCUUGAUCGGAACCUCAAAACACUGGACAUUUGUGAUCAUUCCUUUGGAACCUUGGAACCUGCGGUGCUUUUCAGACUGCGCUCCUCUUACUUGGGUGGUUUUUCCCCCUGAAUGAAAGUCAAUGCUGCCUCCAUUUACUCCCAAGGCCUCAGAAGAGAGCCCCCAGCUGCUGCUCACAAUGGGAACCCUGAUCCUUGCGCUGGCACCACAGGGCUGACCAGCUCUCCAAGACGUUAUCUUCUUUGAUCCUGGCAACUCCACCAAGGGGCAGGUAGUUUGAUUUCCCGGGUAGAACGCCCCCCCUUCCCUGCCUCAUGUCAUCAGGCACUUAUCCACAAUGUUUCCAGACUAAAAGGUUUGCAUUUGUCCUCGAACAGAGGCUCUUCCUAAGUCAGGUGAGGCGUGUCGAUUUCCCAGAUUUUCUGAGAACUCUCCCUAAUGGCUGCCAAGUUGAGUUCCUCCACAGGAAGCCUUUCUUGCUCUCUGACAGAAAUCCUGAUGGUAUCUGAGCACCUGACCUCUGGUUCUGCCUUCACAUGUACCCUCUCUGGCAUCCAGAUAUCUGUGAGACUCACCCUUGCAGCUUGUCGAAGUGAGAAGGAAUCUCAGAGACCAGGGAACCUGAGGUCUGGCAGGACAUGGCCCCAGAGUGACAGACUCCGAGGCUCUGUCAAACUCCAGGCAGUAUGGCACCACUUAUUCCCCAAACACCAGGAUCUGUGGUUCAGGAGAUGGCAAAUUCUCAAUGCUCAUAGUAUAGUAUCCUAGACCCAGAGCUGAUUUGCUGGGUCACUGAGAGAGGAGCCUUCUAGUUUCCUGCUAACAUAGACCUUCUGGGUGAGGAAACUGAGAAGCCAGGUGAAGCUUCAGCUAUGGGCCACAUCCUUGGAGCUGAAUGGACUGCUUCCUGGGGGUGUGGGGUGGCACAGGGGGAAAGGCAGGCUUGGGAGUUGGGCAGAUCCAAUUUCACAACCCUGUUCUCUCACUUACAAACUAUAAGUCAGGUGACUGUCCCUGAGCCUUGGUGCACUCAUCUGUGAACCAGGGAGAAAAAUCAUGAGCUAUUUGGGAGGAUUAAAUCUACUCCUGCAUGGUGCCCGGGCUCCCCUCCCCACUAUUAAUUUGGGUGGCACCUCUCUAGCUUCUGGCCUGAGUUGGAAUUGAGAGUAGAUGGACUCAGAUGACCAGGAAAGAGGGGCUGGGGUUGUGGCUCAAUGGUAGAGCAUUUGCCUACCGGGUGUGAGGCACUGGGUUCGAUUCUGAGCACUACAUAUAAAUAAAUCAAUAAAAUAAAGGUCCAUCAACAUCUAAAAAAAUUAAAAAAGAAGAAAAGAUGACGACAAUGACCAGGAAAGAAAGUCAUCUUAGUCAUUGACUCUCAAAAAUCAGACCUUGAACUGGGCGCAGUGGCACACACCUAUAAUCCCAGCUACUCAGGAGGCUGAGGUGGGAGGAUUAAGAGUUCAAAGCCAGCCUCAGCAACAGCGAGACACUAAACAACUCAAUGAGACCCUGUCUCUAAAUAAAAUACAAAAUAGGGCCGGGGAUAUGGCCCAGUGGUCAAGUGCCCCUGAGUUCAAUCCCUGGUACGCCCUCCCCCACAAAAAAAAUCAGACCUUGUGGAGCUAUUUUCAAUGAAUCAGAGACCUCUGAAUUAAAGGUAUGGAAAUCAAGGAAGAACAUGCUGGGGUCAAAAUACUUUUUUUGGGUUGUGCCAGUUCAGGUUCUUCGGAAAAUAGACCCAUGGGUGAUGCAUGGCUGAAUCUGGACCCUGGCUGGUUCCCCAGCCACCGCAGGGUCUUGGGUGGCUGCUGACACGCAGGGGAGGACCCAGGGUUGUCUUCACCAGCCAAAGCCACAGCUGCCCAGAGUCAAGAUGAGCCAGGGGAGACGGGCUCACACUGUAUAAAGGGUUCACUACACAGAUCCUUUAAAUAUGCACGUGCCAAAUGCACUCAUUCCCUAAACAUUGACUGACAACAGCGGUCAGUAGGCAGACCCUGGCAUCCUGACCAGGACAGAAGGGAAUCUCAAAGCCUUUGGAGUUUUUUUUUCGAGAUUUUUUUUUUUUCAGGGCAGGGGUAGGCAGUGGACUCACAGGACUACUUUAAAAAAAAAUAAAGCAUUAUAAGGACAAAUUUUUCUACUUUCUAUUGAUGAUGGAUUAAAAUUGGAAGAUAAUUUUGGACUAUUUCAACUCUUGGUAACAAAAAUUAAAAUAGUCUAUCUUUGUGCCACAUAACAAUGUUUUAGUCAGUGAAAUACCACUUCUAUGACAAUGGUUCCAUAAAGCUACAAAAGAGUUGAAGAACUCCUGCUGGCUAGUGACAUUGUAACAUCAUAGUGCAACACGUUAUUCACGUGCGGGGUCCUCCAUAUGUGAACAAACCUGCUGUCUACCAGCUCCAUGACCACACCAUUAUGUGUGAUACACAAUAUUUGGUAAUGAUAAUAAACAACUAUGUUGCUGAUUUAGGUGUUCACUAGUUUGUACUUUAAUGGUUAUUUCAUUUUAUUCUGCAGUACCUGGGAUGGAACCCAGGGCCUUGCACAUGCUAGGAAAGUGCUCUAUCACUGAGCUACAUUCCCAGCUCUUGGUGGUUAUUUUAGAGUGUAUUCCUGGUUACAUAUUUUAAAAGAUUUAUUAUAAACAGUGUGCCCUGUUAUGCUGGCAGCAGACUCAUAGAUCUCAUAUAUACCCGUUUCUUGCCAGGCACAGUGGCAAUCCCAGCGGCUCAGAGGCUGAGGCAAGAGGAUCUCAAGUUCAAAGCCGACUUCAGCAAUUUAGCAAGAUCCUAAGAAACUUAGUGAGACCCCAUCUCAAAUUUAAAAUAAAAGAGUUAGGGAUGUGGCUCAGUGGUUAAGCACCCUUGGGCUCAAUCCCUGGUACCAAAAACCAAAACCAAAAUAAAGAAAAACCCAACCCUUGUUUCUCCAUAGCAUCAAGAGGCCACAUUGAGUGACUGACCAGCUAGACUUAUAUAAAUGCACUUAAUGUACUCUGAUAUUCCCAUGGACAAAAUUGCCUAGGGAUGAACUUCUCAGAAUGUAUCCCCAUUCUCUUUCAAUUUUCUUUCUUUUUUUUUUUCUUUAACACUGAGCUGUAUUUCCAGUCCCUUUUUUUUUUUUUUUUUUUUUUUGAGACAGGGUCUCAUUAAGUUGCUGAGGCUGGCCUCAAACUUACCAUCCUCCUGCCUCAGCUUCCUCAGUUGCUGGGAUUUCCAGCCCAGGCCACCAUACCAACCUGUUGUGUCCCCACUCUUAAAUAACUCCUGACUGUGCUUACCUCUUACUGAGAACUUAUUGAGUACUGGACAUUGUGCCAAGAACUUCACAAACAUCACCUACUUUCGAAUUUCACAGCAACCUAAGGGGCAUUACUCUCCCCAGCUUUCAAGCAAGGAAACUAAAAAUUAAAAAGAACAUGUAAAUGUCCCCUAAUCACACAGUUAGCAAAUGACAGAAGUAGGAUUUGAACCAAGGUGGAGGAGAAACUCAGAAACACCACCGUUCGGUGUCUGAGUCCACAUCAUGGUUCUGGUAUUAUACCUUCUCUCUUCUGUGAUCCACGCAUAUUUAUCAUUUAGCUUAUUUUCCAAGGAUGCAGCUGUGCUUCUCAGGGGGAACUGGUGUUGCUGAUGUCCCUGUGAGGCACAGGCUGUAGACAUCCAAUUAUUUUUCUAAGGUAAUAUAUUUUUUCCUUUCUCAUAACCCUGUUUUUUUCCCCUAGCACUAAGUGUCACUUGAUAUUUUAUAUCUACUGCAUUAUCAAGAUGUGGUCUGGUGGCCCAAGUGAAAGGAAAACUCCAAGGCAGGGGCUACAUCCGUCCUGUUUCCCUCUCGACUACCCAGGGCUUAGAACAGUGCCAAGCACAAAGUGGGAACCGAAUUAGUAUAUAUUUGUCAAAUAAAUGAACAAGGGCAGGGACGGCUUUGCAAUCGUUCCUGUGCAUUAUUUGUUCCUGGCUCCUUCCAUCUAGUGACCAUGUCUCUAGAAUUAUCUAGCCAGUGACUGGGUUAGAUUGUAACAUACUCUAUGAACGUGCAUCCCAGACAAUGGGAGACACAGUCUCAGAAUCCCUGGUGGGGUUUCCCCCAAAUAAAUUCGCUUGCCCGUUUGUUCCUAACCUCAAUCCCACCCUCUCUUUCUGACCCUUCUGUUUUACUCUCCUAAGAACUCUCUGAGGGCAGGGUACAUAUCUGAGUCAUGUUUGGUAUUCCACACUUGGUACUCUUCCAGCACUCUGCAACUGUGCGGGAAAUUAGUGAAUCGCACUCGUGGUCUUGGUCUCUUUAACAUGGUGCUCCAACCACCUGGGCCAACAAUGGCUCCAUCUACACAUGUUUGAGGACCAAAGCUGCCUUGAGCUGGGCGCAGUGGCGCAUGUCUGUAAUCCCAGUGGCCUGGGAGGCUGAGGCAGGAGGAUCCUGAAUUCAAAGCCAGCCUCAGCAACUUGGCGAGGCCCUAAGCAACUUAGCAAGACCCUUCUCUAAAAAAAGAAAAAAAAAACUGGCUUGGCUUGCCUUGAAGGCGGAAUCUAACUGGGUUGAUGAUUUUAGCUCUGCAGGGCCAGGAGAGGGAGAUGGGGAGGGAAGGAAGCUCUUGCUGAGGGUCCUACCUGCAUGCAUGCCAGGGUCCUAUCCAUUGCCGUCCCCAGGAGUGAUAUAAACCUAAGAACCUCACCAAUAGAAAUAGAUUAGGAAGAUUAAAACAGCAUCCCAACUAGGUUUGAACAUCACUCUGGAGCAGGUUUCUUAGCUCACCCACUCUGAAGGUCUUUCUCUGCAAAAUGGAAACAACAGUAACUUAUUGGGUCGCUGAGAAUAAAGGGAGAGGGUGUAUACAAACAACUAAAAAAAAAAGCCAUUAGUAAAUUGAUUAUCAGCUUUGAAAUACAAUGCUGAUGAAGGGGAUGAUUAGUGGACAGUAGGAGGCUCCCCAAAGGUCUGGGAGAGGACCCUCCCUCUGGCCUCCCUCCUUGGCCGCUCCCCAGAUGCUUGACAUUCCAGCCCGUGGCCCUCAGAAGCCCAGGUUUACAUGCAGAUUGUAUCUGGUACUGUUAAUGGCAUUCAUUCACCUUAUUAGCACCUUCACUGUAAUCAGAUUAGCCUCAGUUGAAAAAUAAAAAAGUCCUGGGCCCAGAAAUGUGAGGGGAAAGGUAAAGAAGAGGGUUCACAGGACACAAAAAAAAGGUCCUUAACUGCAGGUGGCCUUGGUGGAAUGAUAAAGAGGCGUGAGAAGCUGUGAGCACAGCAGGUGCCCUCUGUGGACCCUGAGCUGGGGGAUGGAUGGACAGGUAUAGGGAUGCAUGGGGCCCUGCUCUUCUCAGUGUGUGUCUGCAGGAGGCCACUGGGAUGAAUGUACUUGUGUUGAUUAAUUUAUUUACUGACUUAUUAAAAAAAAUUAAGGCAUUAAAGGCUCUGUGUGAUCCUGUCAUUUCUCAAUCAAAAGACUUUAAAGUUUCAACCACUCUCCUAGGGAGGGUAAGGGGAGAGAAAGAGGAGAACUAGUAUGUAGGGUCUUAUUUUUUAGAUCAGUUUUAUCUUCACAGAAAAACUGAGCAGAGUACAGAGUCCCCAUGUCCUUCCUCUCAUCCCCUUUCCUUUCCCCUGUCAUUAACAACUAACCAUGGUGUGAUACAUUUGUUGCAAUUGAUAACUGAUAUUGAAACAUCAUUAUUGACUAAAGUGUACAGCUGACAUUAGGCUUCACUCUGUGUUGUGAAGUCCUAGACAUUUUGCCUAAUCCACAAUGUCCUGAUCCCAUCACUAUCACAUCAUAUACAAGGGUGACAGUGUGCAGAAAGUCCCCUUGAUGGGUCCUUAUCCCAAAGGCUGGUUUAGACUUGGGACUCGAUUGGGGGAGUGACUUUUUGUGAUAAGCACAAGUUAGGGGUGCAGCACCUGGGGAGAGACACAGUCCCACAUGUGGGUCCCUUGGAGGGGUAGAGAGAAGGCGGAUCUCAGCCUCUGUGGGACACGAUUCAAAGUUUCUUUAUUUCCUACCCCAUUUAUUUUCCCCUUCCUUCUUGCCUUUCCUUUCUUAAUACUUUUCCCUCUUUAGGUUUCAAAUCUUUUGGCAGGUACUUAAUAAAAUUGGGAAGGCCCUUUGUCAUUGGUUCUUAACCCCAAGUUACACAUUUGACUUUCAUAGAAGUAUUUAAAAAGUCAUCCUGAUGCCUGGGGCCCAUCCUGGUUUGGUUUAAUCAGAUUUUCUGCAGAUGAGGUCCAGGUCCAGGGCCUUAUUCAGACUCUCCCAGUGGUCCUAAGGGCAACCAGGGUCCUAGGUAAUGUACCUGUAGCCACUCAGAUUCUCAGGGGGUGCUGAGGUCCAGAGAGCUGGGCCUCCUUUGGGAAGGAGUGUCCCCCCUACUGUACAGGAAGAGAUCACAGGUGUCUUUAUUGGGAAGGUGUCCAGGCAGAGAUUGUUUCAUGUUCUCACACAUGUUCACAGAUAGAAACUGGAUGUUGGGGUCCAUCCUAUUGAAAUAGUGAAAAUUGGGGAAAACCUAAAUGUACACAAAGAGCAGAUGAUUACAUAAAAGUGGCAGCCCAAAGCACUACAUAGCAAUUUUUUUUGAAUAUUUAUUUUUUAGUUGUAGUUGGACACAAUACCUUUAUUUUAUUUAUUUAAAUGUGGUGCUGAGGAUCGAACCCAGGGCCUCGCACAUGCUAGAUGAACACUUUACUGCUGAGCCACAACCCCAGCCCUACAUAGCAAUUUAAACAAAUGACACCAAACCUGUACAUAUUGACACACAGGGCAAUAUUCAAAAGAAGCAACCCCAGUGCUGGGGGUGUGGCUCGGCUGUGGCUUGGUGGUAGGGCCAUUUGGCAUGCAAAAAGCUUGGGGUUCAAUCCCAGCAGCGCCAGUACACGUGUGCAUGUGUGUGCACCCACAUACAAACAAGAAAGAAAAGAAAUGAAAUAUGUCACUCUGGUCUGAGCACGGGUGGUGACCAGAAACUGGCCCUGCUGUUAUGCUGGUACAUCCAGGAGGAACAUCAGUUCUGCUGACACAUGAAAAAAAAAUCAUCUCCAGGGUGUUGUUAAGUGGAAAAUGUCAGUCCUAGCACAGCAUGCAGAAUGUGAUCCCUUUUAUGUAAAUAAAAAACAAGCCCUAAAAAUAGACAUAAUAUACAUAUUUGACAGUAAAUGGAGAGAGAGAGAGAGAGAGAAGAAGAAGAAAAAAAGCCAGGAAGAAAAAUGAGGCUGCCAGGCAGAGUUUUAGACCUAGGAGUGGUGUGGGGAUGGUGAAGAGAGUUGUGGUAUUUUGCUGUAUGUAACUGUGCUAUUUGAAAAAAAAAAGUAUGGUAAAUACAUGUUCAUACAUGAUAAAUGUAAUGAAAAAAUAGAUAGUUUUUUUUUUAAUGAGAAGAAAAAAUUGGCUUUAGGGACAAAAAUUAUGUGGACUAUAGUCCUGAUUUUUUUACUCAUUAUUAGGGCUUGCUACAUAAUCCUCUGCACCUCAGUUUCCCCAUCCAUGCAACGGGGAUAAUACUAUUUCAUACUCAUAGGGUGUAGUAAUAUUCAAUGAAUUGAGGUAUAUGAUCUUGGGUAUGGAUAAAAAUGUGCAACUCCCUAGGCAUGGUGGCACACACCUGUAAUCCAAGCUACUUAGGAGGCUGAGGAAGGAGGAUGGCAUGUUCAAGGCCAGCCUGGGCAACUUAGCGAUACUCUGACUCAAAAUGAAAAAUAAAAAGGGCUAGAGAGGCUGCUCAGUGGUAGAAGGCUCCUGGGUUCAACCCCAGUACUGCAAAACAAAGUGCAACUAAAGAGAUGGAGAGGGUGAUUUAUUUUACUGGAUAAAUGUGGGAAUGGUUUACUUUUCAGCAAUUCCCCAUGAAAAAGAAUAAAAAUGAUCAAUACGUAAAAUAGGUCAAUUAGAAGCUCUGUGCCAAUGAGAAGAAUUAUUCAUUGGCUGCUUCUCCAAUUUACAGACUUUGAGCUCCAGACCUGUGACACAAUGGAUUUCUGCCUUCAUAAGCUGGUUGGUGGUAUUUUAUCUAGUUGGUGGAACAUAACAUAGCAAGCAAGAUGGGAAGGUAAGAGAGCAUAUUUGGACUUUGAAAUCAGAUCAGGGUCUACAUUCUGUGUCAUUGUCCUGGUUAUUUGAUUCCAGAUACACCACUUAAUGUACCUGAUUCCUAAUUUCCUUAUCAAUAGGGACUGAGAUGAGACUAGUGCCUGGGUCAGAUAAUCACUGAUAUUAAGCGAAUAACAUAUAUGAGGUAUUUAGCUCAGUCAUUGGCCCAGGAGAGACAUUAAGUAAAACGUUAGUUUCCCCUUAAGCACUUACUACACUGUCAGCUCUGGGUUAUAUGUGCUAUGAAGUUUAAAAGAGCACGGUCUAUCCUUCAAAGAUCUGGAAUUAAGGAAAUGCAAAGUAAAUUGAAUUCUUGUUUCACCAUGGCUUCUCCCUUCAAUAUCCCUCUUGGGUGCAGUGAAACCCUCUGCUUGGUCCAUCAAGAGGGGAAACCAACAUUUACACUGAUGUGGCCAGCACCUUACAGGGCGACUCUGAUGGGGACUGUUUUAGCCUCACCACCACUGAAGAGACGUCAUUUCUACUGAGUCAAACCUCGUUCAGACCUUGUGCAGAUCAUUCCCAGCCCAGGUUUGUUCCAGCCUCCUAGAUGUACCAAGCCCCUCCAAGGAUGCCGCAAAAAAACAGGUGGAAGAAGUUCUCCCUGUGUUGAGGCUUGUGCCUCUCUGCCUCCCAAGAGCGCAGAAGUCUGGAAUAGCUGAGUGUGAAUCCUCUUGGUCCUAUCACUGCACAGCAACCAGGUCUGCGCAGGCUGUGUACAGCUUCGUCCAGGUUCUCCUAUCCUCACUCAGCUGCCUCCUGCUUCCUGGCCAGGGCCCGGGCUUCCCGAAAGUCCACUCAUACAGGCACAACUUGUGGGACCACCCUUGAGCAAUAGGGUGCAGGCAUUUGGGGAUAAGUGCUGAGAGCCAUAGCCAAGUCGGAUUGACGCAUGGCAUUUUUGCCAGAACGGAGUGGUUGAGAGGUGAAGCCAGCAAGCCAUUGAGAUGAUAAUGGUUAUGUUAAGCUGUGUAUUCAAUUGUAUAUUAGACCCCUGCUGCCCGCCUGGGCCUGCUACUUUGGAGUUCUUGCAGGGAUUCCUGGAGAGUUCCCAUUGGUUGGAGAACUGCCGGAGGAGGGAUUUCCGAUUGGUGGGUGGUGUGUCCCAGGAGAAGGCCACAUGCUUGGCGAUCGUGGGAGUGCGGAGAAUAAAGGAGUUCCUGUUUUGAACCUACAAGGCUGUGUGGCGGCUCGGUUAUUUUGUGCCCAGCCAGACUGCGGCAGAUAAAUGCCUCAUCCUUUGCUGUCCAGAGCUGUGGUUCCCAAAGGCACUUCCUCAGCUCAUCAGGGCUCUCGUGCGAUCUAGUAUCCCUCGCCCUUAGUAGCCGCCAACCCAAAGCAUUCUUGUACAGAGAUGUUCCCUUCUUCCCUGCUCCAGACGUAGAAUCACAUUUUCAAGGAAAAUACCUGUCUCAAGCUCUACUUUUGGGAAGACACUUGUAUGGUCACUUUUUAAGAUGCAGGUCAAAUAUCCAGAAAUGGAAGCCAUCCUUCCACCCAAUCCCACAGUCUAUACAUUUCUGCACAUAGAGACGGGUUCAAUCUUCAGGUGCCCCAGGCAAUUCCAGCUUCCCACCACUUUGUGCAGAUUGUGUGUGUGUGUAGGGCGGGUAUGGGGAUUGCACCCAGGGGCACUCUAACGUUGAUAUCCCAGCCCUUUUAUUUUAUUUUGAGAUGGGACCCAGGCUGGCUUCAAACUUGCAAUCUUCCUACCUCAUUCUCCCAAGUAGCUGGGAUCACAGGCAUGUUCCAUUAGGCCCAGCAUCUACUGCACUAAUUUGUUUUCGUGUGUGUGUGUGUGUGUGUGUGUGUGUCUUAGGGAUUGAACCCAUGGCCUUGCACAAGUAAGGCAGGUGCUCUACCACGUGCUUCAUUCCCCAUCCCACACUGCACUACUUGGUAAUUGCUCCUGGUGAGUUCUGCAACCAGACAAGUCCAAGGAGGGAAGACUAUAUGUCUUUUCUUCAUUUUUAGCACCCAGUGGAGUACUGUCAUAGCAGGAGCUAGACAAAUGCACAUUAAAUCUACUCUCGGUUAUAAGGGCUCUCUCCCUGACAACAAAUGCGACUCGGUGGCACAGUAAACAGCUUGGGUUGUGUUCUAGUGGCCCUGGCUCUGAUUCCCCAAGACUGCUGAGGUCCCUGCCUCCCCCCACCUGUGGCAGGGUGUGGGGAGGUCCACCCGUUCCUGGGCUAUUUUGCUAAUGUUUCCUCCUGCUCCACCACUUGGUUGGCUUCACCUAGGACACCUGUGGUCAUCUCUACCUCUUCUCCCUCCCUAUCAGAUAUCAUGCCUUCUGUUAUGGUUUGGAUUUGGAUUGUCCCUCAAAGACUCAAGUUUUGAAGGCUUGGUCUCCAAUACAGUAGUGUUCAGAAGUGGGGCUUUUGGGGAGUGAUUGGAUCAUGAGGGCUCUGACCUUUUCAGUGGAUUCAUCCACUGAUAACUGAAUGAACUACUGGGCAGGGAUGGAGGCUGUGGGAAGUGGGACCUGGUCAAAGGGAGUAGGCCUUCAUGGGCAUGCCCUUGGGGACUAUACCUUGUCCCCCCACUUUUCUCUCUCUUUCUCUCUGC